CGCGUAGGCGGCGGAGCGUGUCGGAUGUGAAAUCCCCGGGCCCAACCCGGGAAGUGCGUCCGAAACUGCCCCGCUGGAGGACGGAAGAGGGAAUCGGAAUUCCUAGUGUAGCGGUGAAAUGCGUAGAUAUUAGGAGGAACACCAGUGGCGAAGGCGGCUUGCUGGACGACAACUGACGCUGAGGCGCGAAAGCGUGGGGAGGCAAAACA
rnacentral:rRNA from 1 species